rnacentral:snRNA from 1 species
CGACUGGUUAACUCCAGCGU